GUACACGCUGUGACUAGCAUAUCAAUAAGCGGAGGAAAAGAAACUAACAAGGAUUCCCCUAGUAACGGCGAGUGAAGCGGGAAGAGCUCAAAUUUGAAAUCUUAAAGGGUUUCCCUUUACGAAUUGUAGUUUAAAGAAGUGUUUUCUGUUGAGGUUUUGGUAAAAGUUCUUUGGAAUAGGACAUCAUAGAGGGUGAGAAUCCCGUAUUUGACCUUUACUUUCAACUUUGUGAUACACUUUCAAAGAGUCGGAUUGUUUGGGAAUGCAGUCCAAAAUGGGUGGUAAAUUUCAUCUAAAGCUAAAUAUUGGCGAGAGACCGAUAGCGAACAAGUACCGUGAGGGAAAGAUGAAAAGAACUUUGAAAAGAGAGUUAAACAGUACGUGAAAUUGUCAAAAGGGAAGCGUUUGACACCAGUGUUGUUUUUCUGAAAAUCAAUUAAAGAACUGUUUAUGCUAAGCUGUUUAGACUUUAUCAGCUAUCUGUUUAGUUUUGAGCUUUUCUUUAAUGCACUUUUCAGUUAACAAGUCAACAUCAAUUUCUUUUGCUGUAAAAAAGCUUGAGGAAGGUGGCUUGAGAUUCGUCUUAAGUGUUUAUAGCCUCUUGCCUAUGCAGUCGGAGAGAUUGAGGUCUGCAGCGUAGAUCCUUCGGGGCUAAAUGCAUUUGUGCUAAGUUAUAGCAUUUUAUAGACAACUUGUUGACUAUGAUUUGUCUUGUAGCUUACUCGCUUAUGUUAUUUUACCUACGCUUAGGAUGUUGAACUACUGAGACAUAGA
rnacentral:rRNA from 1 species